rnacentral:tRNA from 1 species
GCCCGCGUAGCUCAGCGGUAGAGCGACCGGUUUAUACUCGGUUCAGCGCCUGAUUAGCGCGAGGUCGGGGGUUCGAAUCCCUCCGCGGGUACCA